UGGAGGAAAGCAGGGGAUCGCAAGACCUUGCGCUAUUGGAGCGGCCGAUGCCUGAUUAGCUAGUUGGUGAGGUAAAGGCUYACCAAGGCGACGAUCAGUAGCUGGUCUGAGAGGACGACCAGCCACACUGGGACUGAGACACGGCCCAGACUCCUACGGGAGGCAGCAGUGGGGAAUUUUGGACAAUGGGCGAAAGCCUGAUCCAGCCAUGCCGCGUGAGUGAAGAAGGCCUUCGGGUUGUAAAGCUCUUUCGGUCGGGAAGAAAUAGUUKCGGCUAAUAUYUGCWGWGRAUGACGGUACCGACAUAAGAAGCACCGGCUAACUACGUGCCAGCAGCCGCGGUAAUACGUAGGGUGCAAGCGUUAAUCGGAAUUACUGGGCGUAAAGSGUGCGCAGGCGGUUGUGUAAGUCAGAUGUGAAAUCCCCGGGCUUAACCUGGGAACUGCGUUUGAAACUACAAAGCUAGA
rnacentral:rRNA from 1 species